GAUGAACGCUGGCGGCGUGCCUAAUACAUGCAAGUCGAGCGAACAGACGAGGAGCUUGCUCCUCGGACGUUAGCGGCGGACGGGUGAGUAACACGUGGAUAACCUACCUAUAAGACUGGGAUAACUUCGGGAAACCGGAGCUAAUACCGGAUAAUAUAUUGAACCGCAUGGUUCAAAAGUGAAAGACGGUUUUGAUGUCACUUAUAGAUGGAUCCGCGCCGCAUUAGCUAGUUGGUAAGGUAACGGCCUACCAAGGCGACGAUGCGUAGCCGACCUGAGAGGGUGAUCGGCCACACUGGAACUGAGACACGGUCCAGACUCCUACGGGAGGCAGCAGUAGGGUAUCUUCCGCAAUGGGCGAGAGCCUGGCGGAGCACCGCCGCGUGAGUGAUGAAGGUCUUCGGAUCGUAAAACUCUGUUAUUAGGGAAGAACAAAUGUGUAAGUAACUAUGCACGUCUUGACGGUACCUAAUCAGAAAGCCACGGCUAACUACGUG
rnacentral:rRNA from 1 species